UACGGAGGGAGCUAGCGUUGUUCGGAAUUACUGGGCGUAAAGCGCGCGUAGGCGGCUUUGUAAGUUAGAGGUGAAAGCCCGGGGCUCAACCCCGGAAUUGCCUUUAAGACUGCAUCGCUUGAAUCCGGGAGAGGUGAGUGGAACUGCGAGUGUAGAGGUGAAAUUCGUAGAUAUUCGCAAGAACACCAGUGGCGAAGGCGGCUCACUGGCCCGGUACUGACGCUGAGGUGGCGAAAGCGUGGGGAGCAAACAGG
rnacentral:rRNA from 1 species